AACUUUUAGCAAUGGAUCACUUGGCUCUAGCAUCGAUGACGAACGCAGCGAAGUGCGAUAAGUAAUGUGAAUUGCAGAAUUCAGUGAAUCAUCGAAUCUUUGAACGCACCUUGCGCUCCUUGGUAUUCCGAGGAGCAUGCCUGUUUGAGUGUCAUUACUAUAAUCAAGCCUUCUCUUUAUUGAGAGGGGUUUGGAUGUGGGGUCUGCUGGCCUUUCAAAAGGCUCAGCUCCCCUGAAAUGCAUUAGCAGAACAACCUUGCUCAUUGGUGUGAUAACUAUCUACGCUUAUGAAUGUGAGGGGCAGUUCAGCUUUCCAACUGUCUUUGGACAAAUCAUCAUUAAUGUGACCUCAAAUCAGGUAGGACUACCCGCUGAACUUAAGCAUAUCAAUAAGCGGAGGCU
rnacentral:misc_RNA from 1 species